GAUGAACGCUGGCGGUGUGCCUAACACAUGCAAGUCGAACGGCAGGACCUUAAGCGCGUGCUCCUACUGUUGGCGACUGGCGGGUGAGUGAGGAGUACAUCGCCAUCUACUUUGUCUUGGGUGACGACGUAAGGACCCUGACGCUAAUACCUCAUACUACCUACUGGUGGAAGCAGGAGAUCUUCGGAGCUUGGGCGUUUGAAUGAGCCGAUGUCGGAUUAGCUAGUUGGCUGGGUAAAGGCCCACCAAGGCGACGAUCCGUAGCUGGUCUGAGAGGAUGAUCAGCCACACUGGAACUGAGACACGGUCCAGACUCCUACGGGAGGCAGCAGUGGGGAAUAUUGGACAAUGGGCGCAAGCCUGACCCAGCAAUGCCGCGUGGGUGAAGAAGGCCUUCGGGUUGUAAAACUCUGUUGUUGGGGAAGAACAUAAGCGGGUUAAUCGCUGGCUAUUCUGACGGUACCUAAUGAAUAAGCACCGGCUAACUACGUG
rnacentral:rRNA from 1 species